rnacentral:tRNA from 1 species
AAGAUUUUAAGUUAUAUAAAUUAAACUAUUAAUCUUCAAAAUUAAAAAAAAAUAAAAUUUAAAUCUUA